rnacentral:sRNA from 1 species
UUUAUACAUGUUGAAUACAGAGGUCAUCAUUCUAUUAACAAUGAUGAAGAAACAGAAAAACAAGAAAUUCCCAAACAAGGACAAGAAGAAAAACAUGAGGAAGAAGGAAAAGAAGAGGAAGAAGGAAAAGAAGAGAAAAAAGAAAAGGUAUGUAUUUUUACAAGAGAUUUUAAAAGUUUAUAAAUGGUGUUUUAAAGAUUUUUAGCCGUUUUUAAAAGAUAGGCAGUGUUCAAUACAUAUUUACAAGGAAUUUUAAAAACUUCU